rnacentral:rRNA from 1 species
AACGAACGCUGGCGGCAGGCCUAACACAUGCAAGUCGAACGCUGUAGCAAUACAGAGUGGCAGACGGGUGAGUAACGCGUGGGAACCUUCCCAAUGGUACGGAAUAGCUCAGGGAAACUUGAGGUAAUACCGUAUAAGCCCCGAGGGGGAAAGAUUUAUCGCCAUUGGAUGGGCCCGCGUCGGAUUAGCUAGUUGGUGAGGUAAUGGCUCACCAAGGCGACGAUCCGUAGCUGGUUUGAGAGAAUGACCAGCCACACUGGGACUGAGACACGGCCCAGACUCCUACGGGAGGCAGCAGUGGGGAAUCUUGGACAAUGGGCGAAAGCCUGAUCCAGCCAUGCCGCGUGAGUGAUGAAGGCCUUAGGGUUGUAAAGCUCUUUUGGCGGGGACGAUAAUGACGGUACCCGCAAAAUAAGUCCCGGCUAACUUCGUGCCAGCCGCCGCAGUAAUAC